UACGUAGGGUGCGAGCGUUGUCCGGAAUCACUGGGCGUAAAGGGCGCGUAGGCGGCCUGAUAAGUAGGGGGUGAAAUCCUGCGGCUUAACCGCAGGGCUGCCUUCUAAACUGUCAGGCUUGAGCACAGUAGAGGCAGGUGGAAUUCCCGGUGUAGCGGUGAAAUGCGUAGAUAUCGGAAGGAACAUCAGUGGCGAAAGCGGCUUCCUGGUCCAGCACCGACGUUCAGGCACGAAAGCGUGGGGAGCAAACAGG
rnacentral:rRNA from 1 species